rnacentral:misc_RNA from 1 species
GCAACACAUCUCUGGGAUCAAGAGAGAACAUUGUCAUUAUUCUAAUGAUUGUUGUUUUUGGGCCAUAUAUGUUAAUUUGAUUGACAGAACUCUGUAAAUUCUUAAAAUCAGUAUUAUAGUUUUGAAGGCCUGUAGAUUUCAUGUCUUGAGCAAUUUGGUCACUUUUCAAGUUGACAUUUGAAGUCUUAAUCCUCCAGCUAGUUGGAGGAAGCUUUAGAAGUGAGGACAAUCCAAGUGCUCAGGGUGUGACUCCUUGCUCGAUAUAGUGUAUUUGGAAGAAAAGGAAGUGCAUAACAUGUAAACAGAUGAAAAUACCCAUUGACAUGCUAAGGAUGUCUUUAUUGUGUAUAUUUUCUCGUGCUUUUUCUUAGCCAUGUUUUUCCUAGAUUUUAUUUAUUUAUUAGGUCUAGGUUUUCCUAGAUUUUAUUGGUUCUUCUGUUUGUUUUGUAACAAAAUAGCUUGUAUGUGGACAAUAUUUUAUAGGAUUUAGUUAUAUUAUUGAACAUCAACUGGAAAUCAUCAAAGAAGUAAAUUUUAUUUCAGUGAAUGAGACUAUAUUUAGAUUUGUGGAAACUUUAAAAUGUUUUUGCUUGCUUUUAAAUACUUGAGUAGAAGAGAGAGAUGUUGCAUUAAAAAAGAGAAAAUUGUGGUGGUUGUUGGCCUCUGGCUGCUGCUGGCAGUGACUGGUGAUGGCCUAGACUUGGCAGUGGUUGGUAGACUAUUGGAUAUGUGCUUUUGUGGUUUUGUUAUGGGUCAUCUCUUUAUGAAUUGUAGAAGUGUAGAAAAUGACUGUUUUUAAGAUGUUAAGUUGUUUUCCUAGCAAUUUGCUUUGUUUUUCCUUUGACUAAGAAAAUGUUUCCAUUAACUAAAUUUUUCCUCGUUGCCCCAAACACCGUGAAAUGUAGGGAUAACAUUUUCCAUGAAACAAAUGGAGUAUUAACUUUCAGUUUCUUUUCCCAUCUCUAUUUUUACUUCCUUUGCUACACUACUGUAUCUCUGCAUACUUUUAGGGUUGUGCAUCCCCUUUGGCUCCUUUUUCAGCUGAGGAUAUUAUCACUCACAAAAGCUCAUUUGGUUUACAGAUGAAUU